GGUUCCAUCGUCUAACGGCCAAGACGGCUGCCUGUCGAGCAGCGGAUCGGGGUUCGAUUCCCCGUGGAACCGCCA
rnacentral:tRNA from 1 species